GAUGAACGCUGGCGGCGUGCCUAAUACAUGCAAGUCGAGCGAACAGACGAUGAGCUGGCUCCUCUGGCGUUAGCGGCGGACGGGUGAGUAACAUGUGGAUAACCUACCUAUAAGACUGGGAUAACUACGUGAAACCGGUGCUAAUACCGUAUAAUAUAUUCAACCGGAGGGUUCAAUAGUGAAAGAGGGUUUUGCUGUCACUUAGAGAUGUAUCCUCGUCGCAUUAGCUAGUUGGUAAGGUAACGGCUUACCAAGGCAACGAUGCGUAGCCGACCUGAGAGCGUGAUCGGCCACACUGGAACUGAGACACGGUCCAGAGUCCUACGGGCGGCCGCAGUAGGGAAUCUUGGGAGAUGGGCGAAAGAUUGACGGAUCAACGCAGCGUGGGUGCAGAAGGUCUGCGGAUCGUAUAACGCUGUUAUUGGGGAAGAACAAAUGCAUCAGUAACUAUGCACGUUUUGACGGUACCUAAAGAGGAAGCAACGGCUAACUACGUG
rnacentral:rRNA from 1 species